rnacentral:rRNA from 1 species
CACACCGCCCGUCACACCAUGGGAGUUGAUUGCACCAGAAGUAGGUAGCCUAACCGCAAGGAGGGCGCUUACCUCGGUGUGGUCAAUGACUGGGGUG